AUCAGGGUUGUAUUUUUCGAGUGGAAGCGGGAUUUACCUUCUUUUGCUCGAAUCCAUGGUUGGAUCAUCCAUCCGCUAGUCCCUUUUAGAUCCACUGGAUGACCAAACUUGGAUUGCUUUGAGAGUUGUGCAAUUGAUGAUCCAACAGUGGACCAUAUGAAGGAAAGUAAAUCCUUCUUUUGCAUGAUGGAUACACCCCUAACCUAUGAUGGUAGACAAUGA
rnacentral:lncRNA from 1 species